rnacentral:lncRNA from 1 species
UGGCUAUGUUAAUUCCCCUUGGCGGCCAUCUUGGUGGGCGUGGCCACACCCUUACCUACUGUCGGCCAUCUUGGUGGGCGUGGCCACACCCUCACCUGCCGUCGGCCAUCUUGGUGGGCGUGGCUAUGUCUUUACCCCCCGUCGGCCAUCUUGGUGGGCGUGUCCCCUCUGACCCCGCCCCUUUCCCCUCCCCCCACAGCAGCCGCUGCCGGUGCGGGCGGGGCAGGAGGUGUCGGUGGCGUUCUGGCGCGUGGCCACGCCCAGCAAGGUGUGGUACGAGUGGGCGGUGACGUCACCGGCCUGCUCCGCCCUCCACAACCCCAGCGGCCGCUCCUACACCAUCGGGCUGUGAGCGGCGGUCACGUGACCCGUGACGUCACCAGGAAUAAACAACGGCCACGCCCCCCCCUGCGGAGAGUC